GUCAAUGUGGCAUAGUGGUUUGAGUGUUGGACUAUGACUCUAGAAACCAGGGUUCAAUUUCCUGCUUGGCCA
rnacentral:tRNA from 1 species